AGUGAGUGAGUGAGUGGGUUCAGUUUUGCACCGCUGUUAGCAUUAUUACUGCAAUAUCACGGUGGGGGACACCACAAAUGGGCUUCACACAUUGUACCAAUGGAGUGAAUCGAACCCGUGUCUUUGGCGUGACG